GGGGCUGUCACGGUUUCGACGUUUUGGCGAACACUAUCUUGUGAUGCAGGCCGAGAGCGGGCUAACUCUCGAAAAUCCAUGGCUCAAACAAACGUACAUGCGAACAACAUCGUACCUUUUGCUCGUAAGCGCGUAGCUGUUGCUGCCGCCUAACAACCCCUAACGGUUCGAGCGUCUGCGAUUUGACUCCGUUAAGGAUUGCAGACCAACCCCCAACGGAUGCUCCGGCACAUUGCCUCUGGUCAAUGUCCGGCUAAGACUUUACCAGAGCAUCCCACUGUCCGGGAUAAGUGACAGUCCCCGCCCUGAGGGUAACCAGGGCUAAGCCUGUGAAUGAAUGAGAUAUCAAUACCCAGGGCGGACAGGAGUUCGACUCUCCUCAGCUCCACUU
rnacentral:tmRNA from 1 species